CCUACGGGGGGCAGCAGUGAGGAAUAUUGGUCAAUGGGCGUAAGCCUGAACCAGCCAAGUCGCGUGAGGGAUGAAGGUUCUAUGUAUCGUAAACCUCUUUUAUAAGGGAAUAAAGUGCGGGACGUGUCCCGUGUUGUAUGUACCUUAUGAAUAAGGAUCGGCUAACUCCGUGCCAGCAGCCGCGGUAAUACGGAGGAUCCGAGCGUUAUCCGGAUUUAUUGGGUUUAAAGGGUGCGUAGGCGGCCUUUUAAGUCAGCGGUGAAAGCCUGUGGCUCAACCCUAGAAUUGCCGUUGAAACUGGGAGGCUUGAGUAUGUUUGAGGUAGGCGGAAUGCGUGGUGUAGCGGUGAAAUGCUUAGAUAUCACGCAGAACCCCGAUUGCGAAGGCAGCCUGCCAGGCCAUGACUGACGCUGAUGCACGAAAGCGUGGGGAUCAAACAGGAUUAGAUACCCUAGUAGUC
rnacentral:rRNA from 1 species